CUGGGUCGGGGUUUCGUACGUAGCAGAGCA
rnacentral:piRNA from 8 species